UAGCAACAGAAACUCCUGUUCCUAUCCCACACAGCUAAAUUCAUCCCAAGCCACUCAAGGAUCUAGAGUGCUGUCCAGUUUCUCACUUCUGGGUUAGGUACAAGGGCCCAUGUUUGCUUGGCUUGUUAUAGAGCAGAAGAAGUGUACUCUUAGGACCACUGUAGAUCUGGGGGACAAGGAAGACUUUCAAAAGCCAUUGGCAACAGAGAUUACAUUUGUAGUGCCCAUAAAGAAGCUCUUUAUAAAUAAGUUGGUUUUAUGUUGGAAUAUAUGAUCAGUUGGAGCCUUUCUGAAAAAUCUCUUGACAGCACAGCUAUCAAAUGAACCUAGUGUGAGAAUGGAAUUUGCAAGGUGUGGAGCAGGCAGGCAGAGAGCAGGGAGGGGCCAGGUGAUAGAAGGGCCAUGUCUAAGCAAGAUGCUAGGCGGGUCAUGGUCUUUAUAGACUCAGCCAGGUGCUGGUGAUAGGUACCUAGGAGAGGUUGUAGGUGAACAUGAUAGCUGGGCUUUCUCAGUCCUGUUCAGCCCUCAUCCCCUGCCCUAAGGAAGAUGUCGUCUAUUUCCACGAAGUUGUGAGAGAGAGGUAGAAAUAACACGUAGUCCAUUUAAUUAAGCACAUGAGAAAUUGUAUAAUGUUAUUUUAUUACUUUAAAAUACACACAUGUGUGCCUUUGUGUGUGCUCAGGGGCCCCAGAGCCCAAAGUUAUUUGGUUUCUCUUGAACUGGAGUUACAGGCAGUUUGAGCUGUCUGACAUGGGUGCUGGGAAGCGAAUCCAGGUCCUCUGGAAGAGCAGUACACACAGUGCCAAUCCAUCUCUCCAUCCCCCAAAUUGUUUGUUAGCUAAGAUUAUAUUACAGGAGCUGAGGAGAUGGCUCAAUGGAUAAAGUAUUUGCUGCCCUGGGUGGCAAUGGCAGUCUCUGCAGGAAAAGACUCUUAGGUCUCUGGCAGUACAGAAUACUGUGCCACCCGGGGCUGCCUACCUUGGGGCUUGGAUGUGAGCAAGAGAACUCUCACUGAAGCCAUUGUUAUUUCAGCUUGCCUGUCACUUGCAGUCAACCCUCAUCCUGACUGAUGCAGUGAAGAAGUGGCUCAAAAAGAAGCUGUCAUUCAUCCUCCCAAACUUCUAACAUUUCAAAGUCAUUUCUCACAUCAAGCCUUUUUUUGUUAAAAUUGCACAGUGACAAAGGGAAAGUAUUUUCACUUAACAGUGGAGUGUGAGAAGGUACUGGAGUUGCCGAGGGAAAGAACCCCCCAUGCUCACUCACUACAAUGUGUAGCAUUUCCCAGAAUGCUACUUUGAGGCUUUAUGCUUAAUAAAAUAGUCACCACUAAUUAGGAUGUCGUGUGGGCCACUAAAUUGCACUUGAAUGGUGACUUCUGUGGUAUGCUGAGAUGAUUUAGUAACACAGCAAUAUUUUCUGACUCUUUGGGGCUCAGGAGAUGGAUCUGCUGGGGUAAGGCACUUGGUAGGCAAACAUGAGGACUAGAGCUUGGAUCCCAGGCACAGAAGUCAAUACCAAGUGAGUGUCUUGACUGCCUUAGAGAUGGGAGCCCGGGAGCAAGUGGCCGGGUAGACUAACAAAACCAAUGAGAGACUGUGCUUCAAAAUAUAAGGUAGAGAGUGAGCAAAGAAGAUAAUCAUACCCCAAAUCAACAUCAGGCCUCCCUAUGCAUGUACAGUCACAUGCAGGGAUACCUACACACAUGUGUGCCUGCACACAUGUGAACAUGUAUUUACAGGUACACACACACC
rnacentral:lncRNA from 1 species